rnacentral:rRNA from 1 species
AACGAACGCUGGCGGCAUGCCUAACACAUGCAAGUCGAACGAGACCUUCGGGUCUAGUGGCGCACGGGUGCGUAACGCGUGGGAACCUGCCCUUAGGUUCGGAAUAACUCCCCGAAAGGGGUGCUAAUACCGGAUAAUGUCUUCGGACCAAAGAUUUAUCGCCUUUGGAUGGGCCCGCGUUGGAUUAGCUAGUUGGUAGGGUAAAAGCCUACCAAGGCGACGAUCCAUAGCUGGUCUGAGAGGAUGAUCAGCCACACUGGGACUGAGACACGGCCCAGACUCCUACGGGAGGCAGCAGUGGGGAAUAUUGGACAAUGGGCGAAAGCCUGAUACAGCAAUGCCGCAUGAGUGAUGAAGGCCUUAGGGUUGUAAAGCUCUUUUACCCGGGAUGAUAAUGACAGUACCGGGAGAAUAAGCUCCGGCUAACUCCGUG